rnacentral:rRNA from 1 species
GCCCAAGUAUUCUCCAAGCUUGAUCUCCGUAUGGGUUAUCAUCAGAUUCGAAUCCGUGAGCAAGAUAUUCCCAAGACGGCUUUCAGGACAAGCGAUGGUUCAUAUGAAUACACUGUCAUGUCUUUUGGCCUCGUCAACGCUCCUCCGACUUUCUCUCGCAUGAUGAACUUCAUCUUCAACGCCUACACCAAUGACUUCAUUUUGGUCUAUCUCGACGACAUUCUGGUUUUUUCGAAGAACAAGGAAGAUCAUGUCAAGCACUUGCGUUUGGUGCUUGAUAAGCUCAGGGAACAUCAGUUCUACGCCAAGUUCUCUAAGUGCGAAUUUUGGCUCGAUGAGGUUCUUUAUCUUGGUCAUAUCAUCUCUGCCAAGGGCAUUGCGGUGAAUCCUGAGAAGGUGUCUGCAAUUGUGAAUUGGGAACCACAUCAGAACGUGAAGCAACUCCGUAGCUUCCUCGGUCUCGCAAGCUACUGUCGAAGAUUCGUUGAAAACUUUUCUAAGAUCGCGAAGCCUCUCUCAAAUCUUCUCCAGAAGCACGUCAAGUAUGUUUGGUCUCCGGAGUGUGACAUUGCUUUCAAC